CCUUUCCCUGCAUCGUUUUGGAGGUAACCGAGCUGCGUAAUUAUAUUUGCACUUCCAGAAGACUGCAUCAGAGUCCCCUUAUUGGUUUGAAAUUCCAUUAAAUAUAUUGCAAGAGCUCCUAGGUUAAGCUUGAUUUAAAUUUGCAUACAUUUUCAUAUAUUUAGCAGAAAUAAAAGAAGGCUUGCAGCUACCAGAAAGUCAUUAAGGCAUUAGUUUCUCUGAGAAGACAGAUCUGAAGAAAAUUCAAGAAAAUGAGAAAAUAGAUCUAAAUAAGGUGGAGUUGAAUACAGUGGUUAACUACAAGCAAUAUGUUCUGAGGAUGAUGGUGUUCAGGCAAAUACCCCAUUUGAUUCUGAUAAAUUGGAUGCAAGACUUUGACCAGCAUGAGAAGAACAGGCAUUGUGGAAGCAGGCAGCAUCCCAGACCUGUGCAGGAACUCAGCAGGACAAGAACAAGUCGGGGGAAAAUAUUCCCAGUGUUGUGUUGCUCCUGGUGGCUCAGGCAGUUUGAACAGGGGCCUGUGGUGGUCCAGCUCGUUGGAAACUUUUGUGCAGAAACCAGGAGGAUGCUACAGCUGGAGCUAAUCCCUGAUGUGAAUUGAAGAAAUAUUUGGAAACAGAGGUGAUUGUUACCUUUCUGGGCUUGGGUGUUCAUGGAGCAUUUCUGAGCAACACCUAAAAUUCAGUUUCCAAGGCUGGAGGCAGCAAAAGGCAAGUUUUGUAAAGACAAAAUGAGACCAAUGGGAAGAAAUUUCCUCCCAGCAUAUUGGGACCCCUUCUCAACAAUAAAAACCACCUAAGUAACCCUGAUGUUUGUGGAUUUUGUAGCUGUGUGUUCAGGCCAAACACGAGGCAACAUUUCCCCUGGAUUUAUGGAGUUUAACAGCGCAGGGAGUUUGGGAUCUUCACAAACUGUAACCAUAUUUUACUGGUGGCAAAUCUUUUGUGAUCCAAGCUCGUUCGUGAUGGGAAUGGGCUCAAGAUUUCAAAUCUGUGCCUGCGCCGGUUUUGACACCGUGCAAUGAGGCAUCCGAGCUCUCAGAUGUCUGGCUCUUCCGAGUUGUGAAAUGAGAAAACAAACAAACCCAACCAUUCCAGCCCUGUCAAUCUCCUUCUCAGUGGACAGAUGCCCUGGUGCCAGAAAAGCUUCAUCCCACGAUCCCACACCUCUUGGCAGUGCCAAAAAAAAAGCCAGAGAUCUACUGGACGCGAAAGCACGACGGUUCCUCACCCCAAAAAAUGGGAUUUAUGGCCACACUGGAGCUCCUGGGUGAGGCUGUGUGGGGAAAUGAGUGCAGCCUCUUCCUCUGGCAUUCCUGGUCUCCCAGAUAAUCCAUCUGAUCUGCUCCUGGAGCAAGGUGCCUCUGGACAGUGAUGGAUUAACAGGAGAGGGUCCAGGUUUCUGGAAUGCGCCAGGCUAAGAAUUUGCCAAGGGCAUCAACAGCAGUUUUCCCAGGCUCCAGCACAAGGAUUAUGUAGUCAAUCCACAAAUGACUCAAAUCUUUGAAGAAAAGGACAUGGUUAUCAGAGAGGCUUUGACGACAGCAAGGACGGGGAGUGCUAUCUGCCUUUUUCCAUCAGAGAUCCCCAUUCCCUCUCAUUAACAUACCCAGGACAUCAGCACAGCCAUCGGGCCCGAGGGAAUUGCUUCCAACUUUUAAGGGAAUAUUCACAAGACCUCACCCCUGUGUUGUUUCAGACAGAUCAAACCAGAUUUGCCUCGUGUAAGGGUUCUUCAAUCCCACUGAAGAUGUGAAAGCUGCUGCUGCUGUAAGUGGGGAAAGGAGAUGUCUCUACCUGCUCUCUCCCAGUGCCCUGCAAUGAAAAAUGCUUUUGGAGCAACACUGGAAAUAAGCCAUCAAAAUAUCUGAUUAAACCGCUUAGGAAACUCUCACUAAUCACCUUCUCUGCUCUUGAUGGAAUGUAUUUAUGCAUUAUAAAUAUACUUACUAUGUGUGUGUGCUCCAUAAAUCACACCCAGCACUUGUAUAUGAUGUAUAAGCACAUUCUAUAGAACACACACAAAUACAGAUGCCAAGCUCCCACAGAGUUCAUCACUGGCAAGUGUUUGAAGGAUCUGAUCCUUAAUAUUUAAUGAGCAAGAUGCUAUUUCCUUCCUCAGCUUUUAUCUCUGGUUUGGCAUAGUCAUUAAAUUUGUUGUUUCCUUGCAGGAUUAUAUAAUUUAUGACCUAAUUGUAGACUUUUGUGUAACCGCGUUGAAACACUCGUGGCGUAUCCCGGUUUCUCCACACGGAGUGUUCCAGCAUCAGCCACCAGCUCCAGCAUGACUUCUGUGAGCUGCCUGUCAGCAAGGAGUCACAGGCAUGAAAGGAAUACAGCCCAACAAUAUUCAGGCAGCAUUAGAAGAUUAGUUUGUGGGGGUUUUUGCCCUGCAAAAAACAUGAUUUAGCAGCAUUUCCAAAGCCGUCUGCGGUGCUGGCAGGAAUCCCCAGGAAACAAUUCUCCCCUUUUGAGGGGAUAAAGUGCAAUGGAAAUAGGACUGCUCAGUGGAGAAUUCCUUGUGGCAGAAGGAUGGGCAGCAUGGAGAUUUCUGAGAUGGUUUGGAUGUCACUUCCAUCAAGUAGAAGGAAUGUUAUGUUAAAACUGUUUAUCAAAGCUGAGAACUCAUGGAUUAUUUUGUUGAAAAGUCAAGACAACAAUCACUGAUUUUUUUUCCCCAGGGCAGAGAUUUUGUGUUAGAGGAGAAAAUGAGAAAACAACCAGACCCCAAAAGAGGGAAAAAGGGAAAACCUGAGAUUACAGCAGAGAAAAGGUAUCAAAAUUUGGAAAAGAAAUUUAAUGGAGCCCUAGUUGUAUCUAAAAUCCAUGAUUGUUUUGAAAUACAGGGAACCACUGUCACAUUAUUUGUUCAGAGGGGCUCUAUAGUCAGAAAAUCUUCAUCUCUUGUAUCCCACUUUCAAGAGUUCAGUCUAUUCCAUUCUGAAAUCCCAAAAGACAGGGAAAACACCUGGAUUUAUGGUUCUUGGGAGUAUUGGGAUUAGAUGCAAGCAGCUGGGUUUCCCAGGAAUGUUAUUCUGGAAUAAUAUUUAAGUAACACAAGUUCUGGCGCAGUGCUGGGGGGUGGUGUGGGUACAGGAGCACUGUCAGGUGGACUUGAAACUGGAAAGAUUCCUUGUCACAUAACUGAUCCCAAAUUUCACUUGGGAUUUUUUACCAAGUUUCCAUUCCCAUUGCAAAUAUAUGGAUAACAUAUUUAGGCAUUAUCCUUAAAAAAGUAAAUAAAUAAUUUCUUUAAGAGAUGGGUGAUCUGUAGAAGACAUUUGUGUAAUUUUGCAUUCUAAAUGUGAUUUAUAUUUAUAAAUAAAUUUGCAUAAAAUCUCCAGGUCUCGAUGUCAUAGUUCUAUUCUAUCUUUAAUUCAGAUGCUCAAAAAAUGUAAAUUGUUUUUACAGCUAAAUAAAAGCCAUACAAAUCUACCAGGAGAGAAUAAUGAGAUACACAUUGUGCCAUGCAGCCAUGAUAAAUCAAGCAGCACCAUGGUUACUGCCAAAUUGUGAGGCUAUCAGAAACCAAGGAAUAUCAGCACAUAGAGAUUCCUUUGGUUUUGCAGAGUAAUCUGAACUAGGAGAAAUUUAUG